rnacentral:rRNA from 1 species
AGUGAACGCUGGCGGUAGGCCUAACACAUGCAAGUCGAACGGCAGCACAGUAAGAGCUUGCUCUUACGGGUGGCGAGUGGCGGACGGGUGAGGAAUACAUCGGAAUCUACUUUUUCGUGGGGGAUAACGUAGGGAAACUUACGCUAAUACCUCAUACGACCUACGGGUGAAAGCAGGGAUCUUCGGACCUUGCGCGAUUGAAUGAGCCGAUGUCGGAUUAGCUAGUUGGCGGGGUAAAGGCCCACCAAGGCGACGAUCCGUAGCUGGUCUGAGAGGAUGAUCAGCCACACUGGAACUGAGACACGGUCCAGACUCCUACGGGAGGCAGCAGUGGGGAAUAUUGGACAAAGGGCGCAAGCCUGAUCCAGCCAUACCGCGUGGGUGAAGAAGGCCUUCGGGUUGUAAAGCCCUUUUGUUGGGAAAGAAAAGCAGCAGGUUAAUACCCCGCUGUUCUGACGGUACCCAAAGAAUAAGCACCGGCUAACUUCGUG